UACGUAGGUGGCAAGCGAUGUCCGGAUUUAUUGGGCGUAAAGGGAGCGCAGGCGGUGACUUAAGUCUGAUGUGAAAGCCCACGGCUCAACCGUGGAAGGUCAUUGGAAACUGGGUCACUUGAAUAUAGAAGAGGAAAGUGGAAUUCCAUGUGUAGCGGUGAAAUGCGUAGAUAUAUGGAGGAACACCAGUGGCGAAGGCGACUUUCUGGUCUAUUAUUGACGCUGAGGCUCGAAAGCAUGGGUAGCAAACAGGAUUAGA
rnacentral:rRNA from 1 species